rnacentral:lncRNA from 1 species
AAAAAAAAAUACUUGAAGCUUAUUUACAAAAUAAAUUUGUAAUAUAUUUAUUAAAAUGGAUAUAAAAUACCAACAUAAUUAUUUUUACUAAAAUUAUGAUAUAUGGAUUACAAAUUUAUCUUAUUAUUUUUUUUAAUCAUGAAGGAUAAAAUUUGUAUUUUGUUAGUCAACUAAUUGGUCAACUAACGGGUCAACUGACGGUUGUAACGGAAAAAUAGUAAAAUGAUAUUUGUUGUAACAGAAAAAUAGUAAAAUGAUAUUUUUAUAAAGAUAUAGUAGGAAAAUGAUAGAAGACAAUACUUGUUGUAGUCAUUUGAUAUUUGACAAUUUUUGAAGUAGUGAAAUGAUAAUAACCCUUAUUUAUAUACUAAAAUCUCAACGUGUAUGUAUAUAUGUAUGUGUGUGUGUAUAUAUAUACACAUUUUCUAGUAAUAAUUCCUUGUUUACCAACCACACAUUGUCUAAUCAAAUCCAAUUCUCUCUCGCUAUGUUCCUCAAAAAAUCCGAUUCAUGCGGAUCCUUCCCCCAAAUAAGGAUGAGACCUUGGCGGAAUUGUCACAUAUGAAAUUGAGCACAAUUUUGCAAAGAAAUAGCCCACUUGUUUCUCAAGAAGAGAUGGGAAAAACGGUCAAUAUCAUUUGAUUGAAUAGUCGACUAUACACACACACACAUGAGGGAUCCCUUAAGUUAUCAAAUUAAGUGGGAUUAGCUAAACAACAAAAAAAAACACAUUGUGAUUGGAAAUAUGGAAUUGGAAUUUUGAUUAUAAUAGGAACUUUAAUUGAGAUUGUAAUUAUAAUUGUAACUAGAAUUGUAAUUGUGUUCGGAUCUGUAAUUAUCAAUGUAAUAGAAGUUGUAAUUGUAAUUGUCACGGCUAUUGUAAUUGUUCUUUUAUAAUUGCAACUGUGUUUUUAAUUUCAAUUACAAUUAUAUAAUACAAUUAUAAUUGUGAUCCUAAUUGCAAUUGUAAUUACAAUUGUAUCUUUAAAAAAAUUGUAAUUAUAGUUGUUAUUCUAUUUGUUGUUACAAUUACAAUUUUAUUCCUGCUAUUGUCAUUGUAAUUUUUAGGGUUCCUCUAUGAUGCUGUAAAUUUUUUUUACAGCAUCAAUAAUGUAUUAAUUAUGUACCAUUAGAUUUAAUCAAUGGUAUAUAAUAUUUUUACUAAGAAAAAAAUAAUGGUAAACAGUGUGUGGAGAAUUUUUGUAAAAUAAUUGUGAUCACCCUUAGAGUUUGAAACAAUUUCACUUAAAUAGCAUAUUUUAUUUUAAAUUACUUUUCAACCCUCCUUUAAAUUUGUAAUAUGAUAAUCUUUUUUAAAUAAAUCUUCCAAAAUCAAUUACCAUUAAGUAUAAAAUAUAAUAGGGAAAUUAUCAUUCAUAUACCCUAUAUUUGCUCUGUUAUCAAAAAUACUACAACACUUUGAGGGUGUAUCAAUCGUCCACCCUUAGUUGACAAAAUGUAUCAGCCGACCACCAAACCGUUAGUUGUCGUUUGAAAGUUAACGGAGUUACAGUGAAUUGACGAUUUUACCCUUGAAAAUUAUCACUUGUAUACCCUUAAAUUCUCUUUUUAUCACUUGUAUACCCUUAAAUUAUCACUUGUAUCAUAUGAAAAGACCAAAUUACCCUUCUAACGUCAUCAUACUUAAAUGGCAACUAACAGUGAAUUGACGAUUGAAAAGACCAAAGUGUUGUAGUAUUUUUGAUAAUGGAGUAAACUAAGGGUAUACAAAUGAUAAUUUCCCAAUAUAAUAUCAAGUAGGUUAUUUAACACAAAGUUUUAUAAUAAUUUGUAUUGUAUGAAUUUAAUUACAAACCAUUAAUACCUAAACAAUAAUGAUAAUAGAAGGCAUUGCAAUAAACUAUUUUAUAUGUGUUUUAUUAAUAAUACUAUAUGAGUCACAACAAAUGAGAAAUAUUUUAUUCACCAAUUAUUAUUGAAAAAUAUAUAUGUCUAUAUAACUAUAGAGUGAGAAAUAUUUUGAUUUAAAUUUUUAACAAAAAAUUAAACUAUUUAUUUCAUGCAAUUCAAUGAUGGAGGAUAUAACAUUAUGAAAUGUUGCUUUGACUUUCAAUAUUAACGAUUAGACUAUGAGAUAUUAGUGGCUCAAAUAUUGUGUCAGAAUUUUAAAUUAAAGUAUCCCAAACCAUGUCUUUAUAAUGGAAAUAUAAAAACAUACAAUGAUUUUUUUCCUCAUUUUGUCCAUUAAAUAUUAUUUGAUGUAAUAUAUUAUUUAUUGUCACUAUUAAUUAUCAUAAUAAAGUAAUGACUCUUCGUAACAUAAAAGUUUUAUAAUUACUAUCAAAGAAUAACAAUAAAAUAAUCUUUCAUGAUUCAUAAACUAAAGUUAAUUAGGAAUAUGUGUUAGAUUUAACUUUUAUGAAAUUAACAAAGUGACAUUUGAAAAUAAAAUCAAAACAAGCUUGUGAAAGUUCAAUUUUAUAAGGCUUAGAUAAUUUCCUACUAUGUCAAUAAAAAUAUGAAAAUAUAAAAGAUUUUCUUUCACAUUUUUUUCCCACGUAAAUAUUAUUGGAGGUAAUAUUUUAUUUAUUGUCACUGUUAACUAUCAUAACAAAAGUAAUGACUCUUAAUCAGUGGCGGAUCUAGAAAAAUAAUUUACCGGGGGCUAAAUUAGAUAAUAGUAAAAUAUAAAAAAACUAAAAUUUUGAAUAUAUAAAAUAUUUGCUAAUACAUUUAUAAUUAUUCUCUACGCAUUUUCAUAUUUUAAAAAUGUUAUGCAAUAGACUCAUUAUCAAUAUUAUUAAAUUUAUUGUUUCCUAUAUAAACAAUUAAACUAUCAUUUAUCCCAUCCAUUCCAAAGAUGAUUCUUCAUGAGUUUCAUUACUGAAAGCGUUCGUUCUACUAUUAUUAUAGAAACUGGAAGAAUUAAUCCUAUUUUUGAGAAUAGAAAAUAUUUUGAGUGGUUGGCUAUCAUUAUUUUUAAUUAAAAUAUAGGUUUUUAUAAUUCUUAAAAGUCAAAGUUUAAAUUUUAUGGCGGUUUAUAUUUUAUAGUGAUUAUUUUAAUAAAUUUAAUGGGGGCUAAUUAGAAAAUUAAAAUAUUUUUUUUAAUUUUCUUUUUUAUUUUAAUUUUUUUUUUUGGCCAGACAUCCGCCCAUGCUCUUAAUAACAUAAAAUUUUAUAAUUACAAUCAAAGGAUAUCAAUAAAAUAAAUCUUUCAUGAUUCAUAAACUAAAGCUCAUUAGGAAUAUAUAUUAGAUUUUACUUUUAUGAAAUUAACAAAGUGAUAUUUGAAAAUAAAAUGAAAAUAUAUAGGCUUGUAAAACUUAAAAUUCCUACCAUGUAAUAAUAUUAAUUGUACGAUAAACAUAAAGUUCAGAGAAUAAGUAUGUUAAAUGGGUGUUAAAAAUAAUAUAUACUUCAUGAUCAAUUAUACAAUGGCCCUUAAUAUUAUAUAAAAUAACGAGUAUUUUAAUAUACGAUAUUAAAUUUUAUUAAAACAUGUAUGAUAAAGUAUUUUUAAUGUUACAAGCAAUCUCACCAAUGAGUUUAUUUAUGUAACUAUGACAUUUAUUUAAUUAUAUGUACUCAUUUGUGUUAUUUAUUAGUGAUAUAUCAUCUAUAAAUUUUGCGAUUGCAACUUAUUUAUUUGAUUUGUAUUAAAUAACCUACCAUUAUAUUUUAUACUUAGUGGUAAUGGAUUUUGGAAGAUUUAUUUAAAAAAGAUUAUCACAUUUCAAAUUUAAAAGAAGAGUGAAAAAUAAUUUUAAAUAAAAUAUGCUACUUAAGUGAAAUUGUUUCAAACUCUAAGGGCGGUCAUAGUUAUUUUACAAAAUUCUCCACCUAUUACACGGUUAACAAAUUGUUUACCAUUAUUUUUAUUUUUUAUUUUUACUAUAAAUAUUGUGUACUAUUGAUUAAAUCCAAUGGUACACAAUUAAAACAUUAUUGAUACUGUAAAAAAAUUACAACAUUAUAGAGGAAUCCUAAAUAUUACUAUAAUAACAAUUGUAACUGUCGAUGGAAUCACAAUUACAAUUUUUAUUGUAAUUAUUAUUGUAAUUGGGAUUAAAAUUAUAAUUGGAAUUACGAUUGAAAUUAAAGUUGUAAUGGUUGUUUAAAUUAAAUUGGGAAUCAACAAAAACAAUUGAAAUUGAAAUUCUUGAUGUAGUUAUUGUAAUUGCAAUUGUAAUUUUGACUGUAAGAAAGUGCAAUUACUGAAAAAAAAUUGUCCACGCCAUUUUCUAUUUUUGAAAAAGAAAUAGAAGCAACAGUAACCAAUUUCUCAGAGCAGUACAUUGACUUUCCUGUUUUUUGGUUGCUUCAACUUUGAAUAUGAUCUAUAUCUGAUUCAUGAUUUUAUGGAUUAUAAAUUUUUAAUCCAGUCCAAUUCAUAAAUUGGUGAAAUUUAAUCCAAAUCUAAUCCAUACGUCUGCCGAUCGAAUGCAGAUUGACCCAAUCUAUAUCCAAUCCACCAUUUUACGGAUUGGUUUGCUGACUAAAUAUUUUUAAUUAUGUCCUAUCUAUGAACUAAUUAAAUAGAAAAAUUAAUAUAAAAAUAAUUUUACUGCCGAUCAAAUUUAAAAUUAAAUAACAUUUAAAUAAAUUAAUUUUCUAAAUAAAGUUAAAAAAUACAUUCAAAGUUUCAAAAUAUAAUACACUAAAAAGAAAAAAAUCCCAUUUGUUUAGAUCAAUAUAUAAAAAAUAACUACUUAGAAAGCUAUAUUUUUUUAUUUAAUUACUUUAUUUAUAUUAUUAUUGGAUAAAAUAUCAUAAUGGUGUUAAUGUAACUAUAUUUUAACUUAUUUAUUUAUUAAUAAGUAUAAUGCCAUAUUUACAAGUUUAAUUUUUUAUUAAAUAAAUAAAUAUUUUUUUUUUACAGAUUCACAGAUUUUUACGAAUUUACAGAAGUAAAUUCAUAUCCAAUUCAUCAACUAUAGAUUUUUAAUUUUAAUCUAAUGUAAUCUAUCAAUCCAUAAAUUAAAUUUUUACGGAUCAAAUUUCUACGAAUUAGCGGAUUGCGCGGAUUAAAUUAAAUUUUGAACACCUCCUACAAGAAGUUGCUGGCAGCUGCCUGCAAACUCUGAAUUAUUUCAAAACAACUUCCAGCCGCUGAUUGUACAAAGCAUCAAAUCCAGUGGUCUAUAUUUUUUUAAAAAUAUUUAAUUACAUGCGAUCUUUUAAUAGAUCCAGUGCAUGGCAGUCGUAGCCUUUGUUGUGGGUUUCCGACCACUUUUGCCUUGUAAGUGCACCUGGCCGACAUUUUUUGUUGUUUUAUUUGUAUGAUAAUUAUCAUGGACCUGCGUGCCUUUUUUCUUUUUCAUUUAAAAUUUCUUAAUAAUUUAAGUAAGACAAAAGAAAUGGGUCUCACAUAUAAUUGAUUGUAUAAUUUUUCAAACAAUAUUAUUUUAAUACCUGAGCGAUUUUUGUUGUUUUAUUUGUAUGAUAAUUACAUGGACCUACGUGCAUUUCUUUUGCUUUUAAAAUCUCAUAAUAAUUAAAACAAGACAAAAGAAAUCGGUCUCACACAUAAUUUAUUUAAAAAGAUUUUCAAACUAUACUAUUUUAAUACGUAGGUGACUUUUUUGUUGUUGUUUUAUUUAUACGAUAAUUACAUGGAUCUACGUAGGGAUGACAAUUGCGCCCGCAAACUCACAAAUUUGUCUAAAUCUACCCAUCAAACCCGCCCGCUGUGGAUAAUUUUACAGGUUGCGGGCGGAUUUGAUAUUACAAAUUAAAACCCGCACUUGGAUGCGGGUAGGUUUGGUAUUAGCUCAAUAUUCGGCGGAUACCCGUAUGGAUACCCACUAGACCCACAAUGUUUUUUUAAAAAAUAUUUUUAAUUUAAUUUCAAUUAAAAAUAUUUAAAUCUAAAAAAUAUAUAAAGAAAAUAAUACAAUUAUGCAAGGUGUCAAAUAACUAAAGUGUUUUUGUAUGGUCUAUUUUCUUUUAACUUAAUGCAUGAAUUAUUUCAUUGUUAUAAUUUUUUUCAUCGAGUUAAUAUUUAAAAAGUAUUAUUCCUUGGAAAAUAUUAAUUUUAAUCAUUAGGCAUCAUGUUGGAUGGGUGCUAAUGGUGGUGAAUUAAAUGAAUAUCUUUCUCUUGGAGCUUGUGUUGAAUGAUAAUAUGAAAUAUAAUUAUUAAUUUUAGAUACUAGUUUGUGAUUUUUUUUAAAGGAUUUGUGUAUUUUAUACUUAAAUUUGAGAAUUUAUGUUAGAUUGAUGUUGGAAUUUUAAUUUUUCAUUUACAUUGGAUAAAUUUAAAAUUGAGUAUGUUAUGUGGAAUUUGAGGUUAUUAUUGUAAAUUUAUAUAUUGAACAUUUGUAAUUUUAAAUGCAUAAACCCGUAAAAAAUCCGACAUAUACUAUUGUGAGUUUAGUAAUUGCCAAAACCCGCUGUGGGUGGAUUUUUUUUAAAAAAAAUAAAAAACCCGAUGUGGAUGAAUUUGGUAAUUUAAAUUUUGUGCAGGUUUAAGUUUGGUAAUGACAAUCCUGCUGUGGAUGGUGCCUGUUGCCAUCCUAGAUCUACGUGCCUUUCUUUUGUAUUUAAAAUUUCAUAAUAAUUUAAACAAGACAAAAGAAAUGGGUCUCACAUAUAAUUUAUUUUAUAAUUUUUUCAAACAAUACUAUUUUAUUACCUGGGCAACUUUUUUUUUGGUUGUUUUAUUUGUAUGAUAAUUGUGAUGGAUCUACGUGCCUUUUUUUUUUGCAUUUAAAGUUUCAUAAUAAUUUAAAUAAAACAAAAGAAAUGGGUGCCACAUAUAAUUUAUUUUAUAUUUUUUUCAAAACAAUAUUAUUUUAAUACAAAUGACCAAAACAAAUUUCAUAUUGACUAAAAUUAAUCAUAGAUUUCUAUAUUAUGACAUAAAAUAUAAAAAAAACAUUUGAAGAAAAAAAACAAAGGCACCCUUAAAUUUGGGCAGGCGCUAAGUUACGUUUAAAGUAACUUGCGCCUCUCACAGCAACAGUGGCACUGACCCCACCUAAAACUGUUGCUGUGACUUAGGCCCUCCCUUAAAUUUGAUGUAGGACACUACAAGACUCUUUGACAAAGAUGUUGCGACCUAAAGCAUGGAAGGGUCUAAAGUUUUAGGGUGAACAUGGUCCAACAAUGACACGACGUGUGUUACAGCUCCACGUCACUCAUUAAUAUGAGUAAUGGCAAUCUCUACAUUAAGCAUGCACUGCCUCAAAUUGCAUGCGAAUACGAAAACACACUUCUGAAUUUUUUUUUUUCGUUUUAAGUUAACAAUUAAUUUUUUUUUAUUUAACAAUUAAUUUUCAUCAAAUCUUAAACUGUCAUAAUCAAUUAUUUUUUUUCAUUGCGACUCCUUAACUAAAUUUUGAUCUGUAAUAAAUAAAAUUUGGUAAUAUUUGUUCCUUUAAAGAUAUAAAAUAACCGUAACAUUGUUUUUACAUUUUGAAUUUUUCUUGCAUUGCUAUUUAGAAAAAUCAUGUUAAAUCAAUCUCAUAAAAUAUAUCAACCAUCUGAAACCCGAAUAUUGAUUACAUUUGUUUUGUAUUGUUGGAAUGACGCCAAAGCAAUUGAAAAGAUAUGAAAAAUAAUAAUUGUAAAGAUUGGCUACGGGAUUUCACUGAAGCUAAGUUCUGACUUGUGACCGUGCAAAUGUUGCGUAACAAGAUAUGAUUAUUCUUGCAGCACAAAUCCAGUAGCAUGCAACAAAAACUACUCUCCAACACUGCCUGUGAAGAAAAUAAACAAGAGUAAAAAGAGCAACCAUGCCUGUGAAUCUCUUUACUUCUCCCCCUUUUCUGGGUAAACUCUAUCAAAUGAAAACGCAGCACGACCACAUUGGUCACUGCCACAGUGCCACUGCCAUUACUUCGUCAACUGUGCCUCUUGCUGCAAGAAAUCUUCAACUGGAAGAUGGACUGUAUAAUUCAUGAUAAAAAAUACACCUAACCUGCAAUGUUGCCAUCCACUAGCCUAUUAAAGACUCUGCUUUAUUUUCCUAGUUUUUUUAAUCAAAAUUUUGCAAGAUUUAUUUUGGAAAAGUUCGACAAAGUUUUAUGUAAUAUACCGUAAAGCCAAAUACAAUCCUUUUAAUUCUCAGCAGCAACAUAUAUGGAAAAAAAUUGGAAGCCAUAUAAAUAUAACUUUGUUUGGUACAAGGAACAAUUAUUUCAUGCUUUCAGGUAUUACAACUUCCAGAAGUGCUAGCCAGAGAUUGUAAGGGAACUUUAACUAGCCACAGAAUAUGUCAAACAUAUUACCAGCAACCGUCUUUAGCACAAUUGUUAUGAAGUGGCUUCUGCAUCAGAAGAAUCCAGCUUCCAUCAAAGCACCACCAUCUUCCUUCUGGAUAAAAUCUGCAUCACUGGCAAGAGUUAUAUCAUCAACAUCUGCACCCUCGGUCCCAUCAUCCCAAUCAAGUGCUUUCUUCUCCACCUCUGGAUCAUAAGUCCACUCCAACCUCUUCAAAACAUCUCCGUCCUUCCAUUUGCCAACAACCGAUACGGCUUCCUUUCUUGCCUUCCCAUUAAUAUAUCCCACCAAGAAAAAACAAGCAUAAGAAAUUCUCUUCAAUGCCCAUCAUUUAUGUCCCCCACAACUACCGUCUUAAGACACCUUAAAUUUUGCCUCCAACAAAACCUCCACAAAAUCUGAAUCAUCCGACACAACAACCAAAUACUCAAUCCUUCUUUUGUGCGUUAUCACCAAAUGAUUCCUUAACAAAACAUCAGUAGCUUGUGGCUUAUCUGACGCUGUCCUGACCCAAAGCCCCCCUCUUUUCAACUCACCUAUCAAACCAUUACCCACUUCUGGAGUCAAAACUGCCCUUGCAGCCCUUUUAUAUUUCUCCAUCUUAAUUGAAUACUUGCCGACCCAAUGCACUCUCUUCCCUCUGGCUGAUUCUAUUUGAUUCAACAUUCAACCUCUUUUUAUGUUUACACUCAUAAAUUUGCAUAAAAUAAUUAACAAGUUUGUCAUCAUCAUAAAAACUCCUUCCACAGAUACCACAUACAUACGGCUCAGCAGGCCUAAUUACACCCUUGUUUUCCAAUGGUUAAACUAUUUUUUCUCUUCUCUUUGCUCCUUACAACUUGAGGCACAUAACUAAAUGCAUGGCUAUUAGCAUAUGCCAUGAUGAAUUUAACAACCCCAAAUGAAGAUACUGAUUUUUCAGUUUAAUGGCCGCUUCAAAUGGGGGAACUGAAUUUGCGGGUUUGCUGUUUAAAUCCCGAAAAAUUCCACAUUAUGUUGGACAGUUUUUGGUUCUACAGUUGGUGAUCGGUUUUGUGAAUAAGGCUCCAAAAGAAAAAAAUCUAAACAAUGAGACAAAUGGGUUCUGGAUUUCUAAUCUUGUAAACAUUGUCCUGUCGCAUAAGUUAUGAAAUUUCUGAAGCAUCACUAUCCCGCUGUUCCUGGGAGAAAAAUAAGUCGAAGAACUACUCGUGGAACAAAAUUAAAAAGUUUAAACUAUGUUGAGAGACUUUCCCUUCGACUAAACGUUUUUAAAAAAAAAGUAUCAGAUAAGCAUUUUCAAGGGAAAAUGAUCAUCCAUACUUAGGCAGGAAAAUNNNNNUUAAUUAAUUAANNNNNAUACAUCUCUUACCAUAAUAUAUUCCAAUAGGGAAUACAAAAACAAAAAGAAGGAGGAUUUUCAAUGCGAGAUCUAAAAACAUAUCUUUCCGUGGCACCGGUACUAAGUACUCUAUGGUUCGGUCUUUAGCAGGGUUAUUGAUAGAAAUCAACCGUUUAUUCCCCGACGCAUUGACAUUUCCUUUUUUUUCAUUCUAGUUAUUGAACUGGAACGGGGUGAAGAAGAUUAGAGCUAGAAUCAAAUAUUUGUGACUAAUCUCUCUUUCCCCUCUUUUCGUUUUUUUGUUUUACAAUUAGAAGAAGGAAAGCGAAAGAAAAAAGGUGGCUUCAACCUCAGCGAAACCCGGGUUCAGGCUCCGAUUAAAUUAAUUAUUAAUUAUCCAGUUAAAAGCAAAUAGACAGGUAAAAGAAAACGGAAAUCGAAAUAUGGCUAGGGUAAGAGUAUCCUCCACUACAAGAUCCUUAAAUGAAAUACUGGACUGCGAUUUAGCAAUAUAGUUAGAAAUUCUUGUAUUACUUAUUAUUUUUUAUUUUGAUUUCCUAUUUAUUUACUAUAUUGAUUGCAAUAAAAUCUUUAUUUCAUAAGUUUUUUUUGAGUGGUUAGCAACUUCUAUUUUUUUGUCCGUGCUUCUUAUUCGUUGCGGGUCGGAAAUAGAAAAGUUGGGUGAAUCAAAAAACCCCCGGAGGUUCAUGGCCAAGGGUAAAGAGGUCCGAGUAAGGGUUAUUUGGAAUGUACUAGUUGUGUUCGAAACGGUGUUAAUAAGGAAUCAAGGGGUAUUUCCAGAUAUAUUACUCAAAAGAAUCGACACAAUACACCCAGUCGAUUGGAAUUGAGAAAAUUCUGUCCCUAUUGUUACAAGCAUACACUUCAUGGGGAGAUAAAAAAAUAGAUAGAGUCAAGCCGCGUGCUUUUGUGUCACCCUUCCAAGGGACAUGAAAAACUAAUCUAGAUAUAUAUCUAGAUUAUUUCAUAUAUUUUAAUAAAAACAAAUAAAUAAAUCUAGACAAACCAAAUCCUAUAAUGGAUUCUAUAAAUCAUUUUUUGAUUUCAUCGAAAUGGGAUUUUAGGGAUAAGGAAUAAACAAAUUAUGGAUAAAACCAAGCGACUCUUUCUUAAAUCCAAGCGAUCUUUUCGUAGGCGUUUGCCCCCGAUCCAAUCGGGGGAUCGAAUUGAUUAUAGAAACAUGACUUUAAUUAGUCGAUUUCUUAGUGAACAAGGAAAAAUAUUAUCUAGACGGGUGAAUAGAUUGACCUUAAAAGAACAACGAUUAAUUACUAUUGCUAUAAAACAAGCUCGUAUUUUAUCUUCGUUACCUUUUCUUAAUAAUGAGAAACAAUUUGAAAGAAGUGGGUUGACCGCUAGACCUCCCGGUCUUAGAACCAGAAAAAAAUAGGCUUACUCUUCAAUUAAAUAAAAAAUUCCAAUCUGAACUCAAACACAGAUGGAUGUUUUGUUCAAAAAAUCUGUGAAGCAGCCGUGCCGUAAGAAAAAAAAAAAAAGAAUUGGGAAAGAAGAAUAAAAUCAAUCUUUUUUUUUAUUGAGCGUGUUCGCUCAUUUUGACGACUUUAUCAUAUAUAUUUCUACUCUACCUUCCUCUUACUGGAGUUCAUUCUCCAGAGAACUCCGUUUAAAAAUUAUAAUGGAUUCCUUCCAAUUUCCUUAUUUUAAAUCUCAUUGGAAAUCAUAUAAAGACAAUUCCUAUUUGAUAUAGCUAUUUGUGCAAGUAUCUUACGAUUAAGAACCAACUGCGCCUUAUACAGAUUGUAUAUUAAUCUACUAUAACUAUAGGAUACCAGAUUUCCGCGAAUUACUGCAUUUAUUCGGGUGAUCCACAAACGACGAAAAUCUCUUUUUUCCUAUCUCUAUCGCGAUGAGCCGAAACCAAAGCUCUUAUUUUCUGUUGAGUAAUUGUUCGGCUAAGUCGUGAAUGAGCCCCGCGAAAGCUUGAUACAAAUAAACGCAUUUUUGUUCUACGUCUCCGAGCUAUAUAUCCUCGUCUAAUUCUGGUCAUUGAAUAAAUGAAACUUUGAUGAAUAACUAAUUGAUUUCCUUUCUUUCAGUUAUUCUUUUCCCCUUUCCUAGUCUAUUAACAAAACGGACUCUUCCAAUUUAUAAAAUCAAAAUUCCAAUGGCUUUUGCUACUCUAACCUUUUUACCUUUUGUCGAGGCAUCCCGUCGGAGGUGAGGGUUGAAAGGGGGGAAAUGAGUUUGGGGGCCAUUUUUUGAGUGUUUUGACAAAAGGUAAAAGAAAGAGUAGUUCAUUAAUAGACUAGGAAAGGGGAAAAGAAUAACUGAAAGAAAGGAAAUCAAUUAGUUAUUCAUCAAAGUUUCAUUUAUUCAAUGACCAGAAUUAGACGAGGAUAUAUAGCUCGGAGACGUAGAACAAAAAUGCGUUUAUUGUAUCAAGCUUUCGCGGGGCUCAUUCACGACUUAGCCGAACAAUUACUCAACAGAAAAUAAGAGCUUUGGUUUCGGCUCAUCGCGAUAGAGAUAGGAAAAAAAGAGAUUUUCGUCGUUUGUGGAUCACCCGAAUAAAUGCAGUAAUUCGCGGAAAUCUGGUAUCCUAUAGUUAUAGUAGAUUAAUAUACAAUCUGUAUAAGGCGCAGUUGGUUCUUAAUCGUAAGAUACUUGCACAAAUAGCUAUAUCAAAUAGGAAUUGUCUUUAUAUGAUUUCCAAUGAGAUUAUAAAAUAAGGAAAUUGGAAGGAAUCCAUUAUAAUUUUUAAACGGAGUUCUCUGGAGAAUGAACUCCAGUAAGAGGAAGGUAGAGUAGAAAUAAUAUGAUAAAGUCGUCAAAAUGAGCGAACACGCUCAAUAAAAAAAAAGAUUGAUUUUAUUCUUCUUUCCCCAAUUCUUUUUUUUUUUUUCUUACGGCACGGCUGCUUCACAGAUUUUUUGAACAAAACUCCAUCUGUGUUUGAGUUCAGAUUGGAAUUUUAUUUAAUUGAAGAGUAAGCCUAUUUUUUUCUGGUUCUAAGACGGGAGGUCUAGCGGUCAACCCACUUCUUUCAAAUUGUUUCUCAUUAUUAAGAAAAGGUAACGAAGAUAAAAUACGAGCUUGUUUUAUAGCAAUAGUAAUUAAUCGUUGUUCUUUUAAGGUCAAUCUAUUCACCCGUCUAGAUAAUAUUUUUCCUUGUUCACUAAGAAAUCGGACUAAUUAAAGUCAUGUUUCUAUAAUCAAUUCGAUCCCCCGAUUGGAUCGGGGGGCAAACGCCUACGAAAAGAUCGCUUGGAUUUAAGAAAGAGUCGCUUGGUUUUAUCCAUAAUUUGUUUAUUCCUUAUCCCUAAAAUCCCAUUUCGAUGAAAUCAAAAAAUGAUUUAUAGAAUCCAUUAUAGGAUUUGGUUUGUCUAGAUUUAUUUAUUUGUUUUUAUUAAAAUAUAUGAAAUAAUCUAGAUAUAUAUCUAGAUUAGUUUUUCAUGUCCCUUGGAAGGGUGACACAAAAAGCACGCGGCUUGACUCUAUCUAUUUUUUUUAUCUCCCCAUGAAGUGUAUGCUUGUAACAAUAGGGACAGAAUUUUCUCAAUUCCAAUCGACUGGGUGUAUUGUGUCGAUUCUUUGAGUAAUAUAUCUGGAAAUACCCCUUGAUUCCUUAUUAACACCGUUUCGAACACAACUAGUACAUUCCAAAAUAACCCUUACUCGGACCUCUUUACCCUUGGCCAUGAACCUCCUUGGGGUUUUUGAUUCACCCAACUUUUCUAUUUUCCGACCCGCAACGAAUAAGAAGCACGGGACAAAAAAAUAGAAGUUGCUAACCACUCAAAAAAAACUUAUGAAAUAAAGAUUUUAUUGCAAUCAAUAUAGUAAAUAAAUAGGAAAUCAAAAUAAAAAAUAAUAAGUAAUACAAGAAUUUCUAACUAUAUUGCUAAAUCGCAGUCCAGUAUUUCAUUUAAGGAUCUUGUAGUGGAGGAUACUCUUACCCUAGCCAUAUUUCGAUUUCCGUUUUCUUUUACCUGUCUAUUUGCUUUUAACUGGAUAAUUAAUAAUUAAUUUAAUCGGAGCCUGAACCCGGGUUUCGCUGAGGUUGAAGCCACCUUUUUUCUUUCGCUUUCCUUCUUUCUAAUUGUAAAAACAAAAAAACGAAAAGAGGGGAAAGAGAGAUUAGUCACAAAUAUUUGAUUCUAGCUCUAAUCUUCUUCACCCCGUUCCAGUUCAAUAACUAGAAUGAAAAAAAAGGAAAUGUCAAUGCGUCGGGGAAUAAACGGUUGAUUUCUAUCAAUAACCCUGCUAAAGACCCGAACCAUAGAGUACUUAGUACCCGGUGCCACGGAAAGAUAUGUUUUUAGAUCUCGCAUUGAAAAUCCUCCCUUCUUUUUUGUUUUUGUAUUCCCCUAUUGGAAUAUAUUAUGGUAAGAGAUGUAUAUGUAGUUAAAGGCCCACUUGUAUUUGUGCGCGGAAUCCCUAAUUCAAAUUGAAAUGCGCAAUGAUUCGGUAUAUAAGAUUUGAUUUUCUUUUUUUUUUUCUUAAAACAGAAAAAGGGUCACUUUACACCUGCGAAUUCCCAAGAAAAAAUAAUAAUUUAUUAUUAUUAUAUGGUAUAUGAUAUGAGACCAAAAACAAGAAAAGGCAAGAUCCAUUUUGCAUAUCACUAGAGGGAAUAAAAAUAAGGAUGUGGAAAACAAGACAGGGAUUCUUUACAAUGAUAUUGUAGGCCAAUUGAAAGGGAUGUAGCGCAGCUUGGUAGCGCGUUUGUUUUGGGUACAAAAUGUCACGGGUUCAAAUCCUGUCAUCCCUACCAAUUACCGCUCAGAGCAGCAGUAACGCGAGAUCUUUUUUUUUUUUUUUUUUUCGAUCGAUUUCAUUUUGACAUACAUAAAUUUCUAUUUUAUGAUAUAUGAUAGUAUACACAUACAAGAAUUGUUGGGGUAAAAAAAGAGAAUCUCCUUAUUUCCAGCCUUUUUCGUUGUGAUAAGAAAGCGCUCUUAGUUCAGUUCGGUAGAACGUGGGUCUCCAAAAACCCAAUGUCGUAGGUUCAAAUCCUACAGAGCGUGAUUCCGCUCUUGUCGUCUUAGAUCUAAAACCAUACACACUGAACUGAAAUAAUUGAACAGCAAUCUGAAUUUGACCCUGACCUCCCCCUCGGAUUAAAUUAAAGAAGGGAGGGGUCAGUUAAAAAAAGAGAUGUUAAUUAAUCAAAGGUCCAACUGAUCACCACGUCUGUAUUGUAAAUAGGCGGUUACGAAUAAUCCAGCCAAAGUAAUAGGAAUUAGACCUAAGACGAUUCCAAAUAGAAAGACUUCAAUCAUUUGAAUUUUAUUUAUUUUUUUUUUUAUUUGAAAGGUUAAAAAGAGAGGUAAUAUCUAUUCCUAAAUAUUAAUCUGCCUUGCCUAGGAAUCUCAAUAACCAAUAAUUGGUAAUUAACGUGGUACGGUAAGGAACUAGACAAUAUGUGGAAUACCACAGAAGGGUUUCUUUUUUAUGAAUUAUUCCUUCAAUUAAUUUCAAAUAAGUCCUAUCUUACUCAGACCAAUAAAUAGAGC